AGACUCACUAUGUAGCCCAAGC
rnacentral:miRNA from 1 species